GCAUGGACGAAUUCUGCAUUAGCUUUCCCUCAGUAGCUAAUGCAGUCAGACACUAUGCCAGAGCAAGCUCCUUUUCCACACCAAUUGGCAGGCUCCUUACAUGAGAAGGGACUUGCCUUUGGAAGAGGGAUACAGAA